rnacentral:sRNA from 1 species
AACUUUGGUAGCGAGUUUACUUUACUUUGAAUUCUUUGUUGUUUGGGAAUUCUUUAGAAAAUGGGUCACGGAGCAAGCCGUUACAAGAAGGCUAGAGCCAAGAUGCGAUGGAAGUGGAAGAAGAAGCGAACUCGUCGUCUCCAAAGAAAGAGACGUAAGAUGAGACAAAGAUCCCGAUGACUUCGAUGAGUCAUCUUUAUUUUUUUUUUAGUUUGACAAGAUGUGCUUUUCCAC